rnacentral:rRNA from 1 species
ACGCUGGCGGUAGGCCUAACACAUGCAAGUCGAACGGCAGCACAGGAGAGCUUGCUCUCUGGGUGGCGAGUGGCGGACGGGUGAGGAAUACAUCGGAAUCUACUUUUUCGUGGGGGAUAACGUAGGGAAACUUACGCUAAUACCGCAUACGACCUACGGGUGAAAGCAGGGGACCUUCGGGCCUUGCGCGAUUGAAUGAGCCGAUGUCGGAUUAGCUAGUUGGCGGGGUAAAGGCCCACCAAGGCGACGAUCCGUAGCUGGUCUGAGAGGAUGAUCAGCCACACUGGAACUGAGACACGGUCCAGACUCCUACGGGAGGCAGCAGUGGGGAAUAUUGGACAAUGGGCGCAAGCCUGAUCCAGCCAUACCGCGUGGGUGAAGAAGGCCUUCGGGUUGUAAAGCCCUUUUGUUGGGAAAGAAAUCCAGCUGGCUAAUACCCGGUUGGGAUGACGGUACCCAAAGAAUAAGCACCGGCUAACUUCGUGCCAGCAGCCGCGGUAAUACGAAGGGUGCAAGCGUUACUCGGAAUUACUGGGCGUAAAGCGUGCGUAGGUGGUCGUUUAAGUCCGUUGUGAAAGCCCUGGGCUCAACCUGGGAACUGCAGUGGAUACUGGGCGACUAGAGUGUGGUAGAGGGUAGCGGAAUUCCUGGUGUAGCACUGAAAUGCGUAAAGAUCAGGAGGAACAUCCAUGGCGAAGCAGCUACCUGGACCAACCUGACACUGAGGCACGAAAGCGUGGGGAGCAAACAGGAUUAGAUACCUGGUAGUCCCCCCCUAACGAUGCGAACUGGAUGUUGGGGGCAAUUUGGCCCGCAGUAUCGAAGCUACCGUUAGUCCCCGCUGGGGAGUACGUCGCAGACUGAACUCAA